GUUCCCUCACUUGUGGCCUGGGGAUGCUCUGACCUGUCUCAGGGCAUCUCCUGGUCCUGUGGACAGAGGCUGUCUCCUUCUAGCUCCCAGCGACCCUGGGGGAGUCAGCUUAUUCAUUCUCCUUGGAAAGCUCCUCAGAAGGAUGGUUCCGCCCCAGGUCUGUUAACACUGUUUCAGAUUUGAGGUUCAGAACAGAGUGCUGUCAGCUGGCUUGCUGGUGGGCCCCACGUCCCCUGUGCCCCCUCCCCCCUCCCAGGGAGAGAGGCCAGGGUCAGAGCUGUUGGCAGGCGAUGAGCAGACGUUCCUGCUGCUGUGGUUGUCAACCCUGCUGCUAUUUUGGGGCCUGUAUUGUUCACUCAGGGUUUCGUUUUCCUUUGCCGUCUAUUUUGGCACGGCCUUGCUCCCAAAGGGCAGGCUCUGUCGUGGCCGAGGGUUCGUCCACAUCUUUGUCCAAGUUUACGUGGUGACAUGUCACCUCCAGAAGGAAAAAAAUAUGAGAGCAUGAGAACACGAUCUUCCAUGCAGAAUUGUUUUUAAACACUUCAAAGCAAAAGAGACAUCUUAGAACAUUUUCAUUUUCAUAUGUAAAGUUGAGGAAGUCAGAUUUACCCAGUGAUGUGAAUUAGGGGAACGGGAUGGGCUGUGAGGACCAGUCUACAGUGUGUGCUUGUGUGUGCACCUGUGUGUAUGUGUGUGUGUGUGUGUGUGUGUUCUGUGUGUGUGCAUAAAAUCCUUCAUCUACUCUUCUGUUUUCUGAAUGACAUGCUUCUUGGGCCCCCAGGACCAAGGUUCUCUAGUCUCACUGAAACAGCCUAUAGAUACAUGUGUCCCUGAAAACUUGCGUGUGUGACUGUAUAGUCGUGGAGGGGCCGGCACAACGAGCUCCAGCUCGGGUAUGUAACACGCACUUGACAGCAUGUGCUGUGCUCACAAGGGUCACAGUAUUUUGUGUCGAUCUUCAGCUUAAUUCUGAGUGCCGGACCCAGGUACUCGAGGAGGACAAGGGCCAGCCAGGAGGUGUGGGGACUCUACGUGGAAAUGGCCAUGCUCUGGGGACAACUGAGGAAUUAGCCUUGACACUGAGGCUUGUACGAACUGAAGAGUCUUGUCUCGCUCCCAGAUCUGGCAGCUCCGCAUGCCUGGUUAACUGGGCUUACGGGAAAAACACUCACAGGUGAAAGACCUUUGGCAUCCACUCCUAACUUUCAGUUCCGAGGACGGUGAGUUCCCGGUACAAGGGAGUGGAAGCUGACGUCACCGAAAAAAUAUUGCCUUGCUUUGAAAUCUGCAAGCGCUUUCAAAGUCCUCCUGUACACAGGGCUGAAAACGUGUUUCCCAAUUGUCAUGGGCAACUUAUAAACAGAUGUUCCAGAAACAAAUAAACCAAAUACAAAAACACGUUGGUUUGUGUUCAAGAAUGCAACAUGGUAUUUACAUGUGCCUUACUAUGCUGUUUUCACUGACAAAGUUCCCAGAAGAGAUUGUUAGGACUGAAAGUCCAAAAUUAGCUCUAGGACAAGAGUGAAAAAUUUCGACAGGCGCUCUGAAAUGGUUUGUGUGUUUGAAGCCAUAUAUGGGUGAAAGUAGCCAUUUCAACAGGGAGUAAAAAAAAAAUAAGGAAAACAUUUUGCACACAACAGAAAAAUGCUUACACUUUCAUCUGUGAAAAGGAGUUCAUAUUCCCAAGGCAUGCUGAAUGAGACUCCAGGAGGAAGAAAGCGGAGCACUUUCAUUUUGGUUUCUGGGAAAUUCGGCUAUUCUUCCCUCCUGUUUAUCAACAAGACAGUGGCUGGCUGGUCCUGAGGAAGAGAAUGAGAAUCUUUACAGAGGCAGAAGCAUAAAGGCUUAUAAAUGGAAGAGCAGAGGUGAGCAGGACAGUUAGAGAGAUAUUCACACCCUGUGCCAACAGACAGGAUGGUCCUGCAGACCUGACCGUGGAAAGGCUCUUGGGGGGAUCUCUGUCCUGCAGGGCAGACACCUGCCUUCUCUGGGGUGAGUGCAGCCUGCCCAGGGCAGGACCCAAGGUGGGGCUGCUCAGAUAUCCCAACUCUGGCUCAGAUUAGUUCCAAAGCAUACCAGGCCACCCCUUGUAUGAAAGAGGAUGCUAUCAGGGGAACUUUCUGAAGCACUACCAUGUGUCCCAUACCUUUCCAGGGUUUAACUGCAGCAUCUAAUUAAGAGUAAUGCCCAGAUCCUGAGGUCUGCAGACAGGCUGUCCAGGGGGAGGUGGUAUUUCUGCUGGGUAGUAGUGGCGCAAUUGAGGGUUCAAGAUUUAAUCCAUCCAAACUCUGGUUUCCAACUUAAAAUGAGGAGGGUAGGGACAGUUCCCUGCCAGGGCUACUGUGAAAACAAAAGGGGACAAUCCAUGUGAUGCGUAGGUGCUUAUUCUUAGCUGCUUCUGUUCCGAAUGUCCUUAUAUCAGUGGAUCAUCUUUGAUGGGAGGAGCUGAGUGCUAAAGCAUCUUCAGUCCAGAGUUGAAUGUCUCAGAGGACGUGCCUCCACUUUAGCCUGGUGGGAGAGGACCUGGGCUGGAUGGAGCCCCCCGCUUUGGUGAUGGAGGAUAGUUUUCAGAGAGCUGUUGAAGCGAACCAGGAACACUCGAGGUUGGCAGGUGGACUUCAUGCUGUGGGAACACAGAGGAGAGAGGUUUUGAGAACGGCUGAAGGCACACGAUUUUGAAUUCUACUUACGUUUCCUCUGCUGCUCCGGACCCCUCAGUGUGAAAUGUGCGCCCGAGACCCUGAGCAGAAAGCUGGGCUCUAGCUCUUUGGUUUGGGGCGGAGAAGGCUGUGAUGCUGGCUCUGUUCCCCCAUUAUCCUCUCAGCCCCUUGGGGAAGGACCAAGCUUGUUCCCAUGGUAUCUGCACACCAAGGACAGUGUUGGCUUGGCUACAGGCUCUUCAGUCUUCUCGUCACUAUAAAGACAAUUUUCUAGAGUCAUAUACCUUUGGACCUUGACCAAGUCCAAAAAUAUUUGUUUAGAAUUCAAGGUACAGAUUAACAAAAAAGUGAGAUCCCCAGUGGGAUAAUCAUCAAAUCUAUUAUAGGUUAGAGCUAUUGAUUUCUGUAAACUAGAUUGCACUCUCUUGGAGGGAAGUGAUUGGGUUUAUUCAUCUUUGUUUCAUCAAAGUGUUUGUCACACACAGUGCUUUUCCAUACGGAUCUUUAAAAAACCUUCCCGCUAUGAGAUUAAAUUUGACCUAUUGAAGAGAAGCAGAGUUGAUGGUCUUUGAAGAGAAUGAAGACCAAAAGUUUAAGAAGACCUGACUGAGGCAUAGAAUGACAAAAUAAUUGGUAUAUUUGGUCAAAAGUUUUCAGCAUUAUGUGGACAAAACAGUAAAAAUUGCUUUAAUUCUGUACGUGGUUGGUUGAAUUAAUCACACUGCUUAGAAUUAAAUGCACUGUUUUUUGUUUUUCUUUUUAAUUUCGAUGAAUGAAACUUAAAUGAGUCAAACCUGUCUUAAAAAUAUAUGACUUUUGGUUGAAAAUUGCCCGUGAUAUGGACAUUACUCUUCCUAUGGAUUUUCCUUUUGUGAAUGUUUUAUCUACUUAAUAAAAUUUUAUUGUGUGAAAAUGCAUACAUGAGAAUUGAAUCUUUGUUGUUUAUUCUAAUACGUGAUACAUUUGUAAAACUGAAUUUGAAAAUUUGUUCAAAUUAAUA